AACGAACGCUGGCGGCGCGCCUAAUACAUGCAAGUCGAGCGAGAAGACGUAGCAAUACGUUUGUAAAGCGGCGAACGGGUGAGGAAUACAUGGGUAACCUACCCUCGAGUGGGGAAUAACUAGCCGAAAGGUUAGCUAAUACCGCGUACGCUCCUUGGACUUCGGUUCAGGGAGGAAAGCGAUACCGUGGGUAUCGCGCUCUUGGAUGGGCUCAUGUCCUAUCAGCUUGUUGGUGAGGUAACGGCUCACCAAGGCUUCGACGGGUAGCUGGUCUGAGAGGACAAUCAGCCACACUGGCACUGCGACACGGGCCAGACUCCUACGGGAGGCAGCAGUAAGGAAUAUUGCGCAAUGGGCGAAAGCCUGACGCAGCGACGCCGCGUGGGGGAUGAAGGUCUUCGGAUUGUAAACCCCUUU
rnacentral:rRNA from 1 species